rnacentral:lncRNA from 1 species
AUGCAGGGCACCAUGUCCCUCGGUCCACACCAACAUGCGGGGCACCAUGUCCCUCAGUCCAUACCAACACACAGGGUACCACAUCACUCAGUCCACUCUGAUACGCAGGGCACCGCGUCCCUCACCUCAGUCCACACCGACACGGAGGGUACCACGUCCCUCAGUCUACACCGACACACAGGGUACCACGUCCCUCAGUCCACUCUGAUACGCAGGGGACCACGUCCCUCAGUCCACACCGACACGCAGGGCACCACGUCCCUCAGUCCACACCAACACGCAGGGUACCACGUCCCUCAGUCCACACCAACACGCAGGGUACCACGUCCCUCAGUCCACACCAACACGCAGGGUACCACGUCCCUCAGUCCACACCGACACGCAGGGUACCACGUCCCUCAGUCCACACCAACACGCAGGGUACCACGUCCCUCAGUCCACACCGACACGGAGGGCACCGGGUCCCUCAGUCACACCAACACGCAGGGUACCACGUCCCUCAGUCCACACCGACACGCAGGUACCACGUCCCUCAGUCCACACCAACACGGAGGGCACCGCACCACUCAUUCACUCCAGACCUACACAGAGGACACCAUGUCACUCAUUCUGUGGGACCCACAUGGAGGACACCGCGUCAUUCAUUCAGUGAGACCCACACAGAAAACACAUCAUUCAUUCAGUGCAGACUAACACAGAGAGAACAGCGCAUCAUCAGUCCAGACCAGCCCACGUGGAGACACCACUCACCACACCAUUUCAUCCAGACCAACACAAAGCUGCCACGGACUUAGUGCCAGCAGACAGGCACGUGAACGUGGCUGGGGAAGUUGAAUUACACAGUAAAAAUGUUAAGCGCGGUGGUGUAGUAGGCUGAGACUGAGACGCCGGCAUCCCAUAUGGGCACUGGUUCAAGUCCCAGCUGUUCCUCUUCCGAUCCAGCUCUGGCCUGGGAAAGCAGUGGAUGAUGGCCCAAGGACUGGGCCCCUGCACCCAUGUGGGAGACACAGAGGAAGCUCCUGGCUCCAGAUCAGCCCAGCUCUGCUGCGGCCAUCUGGGGAGUGCAGCGGCGGAUGGGGGAUCCUUCCCUCUGUCUCUCCCUCUCUGUUUGAAACUCUACAUUUUUUAAAAAGAAAUGUUAAGGAGAGAGAUGGGAGAUGUUUUAUAAAGUCCCCAAUUUUUACAGGUGUAAACUUCAACACCUGAGCUGAGAACCCGAGGAGACUGGCAGCGUGGAACAGCAACAGGGAACCUGACUUCAGAAACAGAAACUGGCCCCAGUGGAACGCCAAGGAUGAUGAGAAAUCAGAAAACCAGAGCCCUGACCCGACCCCUGCACACACCCCCAAUUCUCCAAACUGGAUGGAAAUCAUAAGCCUGCAGCCCUGAAGUUAAACUAAAAUCAUGCGCAAGAAAGCAAAGCAAAGCACGGCCCAGAGUAUCACUCAAAUGGCUCCGAACGAGCGGCCAACGUGAGGGCCCCACGGAGGGGCGGAGACAGGCGCGGCCAGCCCAGCAACGCUCAGCAGUGAGGGCCGAGGAAGGAGCCCCCGAGGGCGGCCACUCGCAGAGCGGCGCACCAGUGUCCAAGUCCCCCAGCAAAGGAAGGGCGUGGCACCCACACGCACACACAGCGCCAGCGAGAAUGAAGAAUUACGCUGCCCAUUCAUCUCGGAACAGCUGACUUCACACAGAUAACAGAUAGAGCACGGGAUUUGCAACACAUGUAAAAUUCAAACGAACGGCAGCAGACAGGGAGAAACGGGAGCGGUCGCCGCAAACUCCUGCUCCGGGACCCGCGACUGGCCCAGCAGCUCCACCGCCUGCUAGCGCGCCUGCGCUCCACGUCAGAACCCCGGGUCCAAUCCCGAGCUCCAGCUCCUGGUCCAGCUUCCCACCCACACACUGAAGGCAGCGGUGACGGCUCACGAAGCGGAGUCCCUGCCCCCCAAGCGGCCCUGGACCCCACCUCGGCCCUGCUCCGUGCUGGCUGCUAAACCUGCAGAAGGCAGUGCACUGGCUCUCAGUCUCUCAAAUAAAACUUGCUACUAAGUUACA